rnacentral:rRNA from 1 species
AGUGAACGCUGGCGGUAGGCCUAACACAUGCAAGUCGAACGGCAGCACAGUAAGAGCUUGCUCUUACGGGUGGCGAGUGGCGGACGGGUGAGGAAUACAUCGGAAUCUACUUUUUCGUGGGGGAUAACGUAGGGAAACUUACGCUAAUACCGCAUACGACCUACGUGUGAAAGCAGGGGAUCUUCGGACCUUGCUCGAUUUAAUGAGCCGAUGUCGGAUUAGCUAGUUGGCGGGGUAAAGGCCCACCAAGGCGACGAUCCGUAGCUGGUCUGAGAGGAUGAUCAGACACACUGGAACUGAGACACGGUCCAGACUCCUACGGGAGGCAGCAGUGGGGAAUAUUGGACAAUGGGCGCAAGCCUGAUCCAGCCAUACCGCGUGGGUGAAGAAGGCCUUCGGGUUGUAAAGCCCUUUUGUUGGGAAAGAAAAGCAGCAGGUUAAUACCCCGCUGUUCUGACGGUACCCAAAGAAUAAGCACCGGCUAACUUCGUG